UUGAACCUGGACACCACAGUCAACACAGGGGUUCUGCUCUUGCCAGAAGGCUCCUCCUGGGACUUCUCUUCUGGAACUGUGCUCCACGCCCCUCCCACCCUGACACCGUGUCCAGGUUCAGUGGCACAGAGGAGCGGUCCACUUGGAGACUGCAAAGCGGGGCCCAAAGUCUCAGGUUCUCAGGAAGACUCAGGUUCGGAGGAGGCUUCCAGUGACCUCUGUCAAAUGGAGCUACGUGACUCACCAGGAGCUUCUGGCCCAAGGCACUGCCCUUGCCAUCAUGGACAACACAGAGGAUGCAAGUGGGCUACUUCAAUAAACCCUUUCCCAUAAGUAAUCCCAGCUACCUUCAGUGUCUAUGUGCACUGGUUCAUUUAACUCUCACAGAAGUCCCAUGAGUUGGGUGUUGGUCCUCCUUUCCUUGCCAUUUUAUAGGUGAAAGAACAAGUUUACAGAAUUGAAAUUUCUUUCUGAUGUGCUCUGAACCACUAUGCUGGAAUCCCCAAUAGCUAUCUUUUGUUUCCAUCGGUGUCAGAGAUGGGAGAGACCUAUGAUGAGGAAAUGAAGGCCUAGGUCCUAGGCCCUAGGAGGAAAGUAUCUCACCUAGAGUUACAUCAGAGCUGGUGGAAGAGCCUGGACUAGAAUCCUGUCUCUUGACUUCCUUUCCUGCCCACCGCUACACAAUGACUCCCUGCUAAAGCCAUCCUGUCCGGGAAUGACAAGGUAGCAAAGGGCUCCACGAGGAACGUCCCCCUCCCUCUCUGCCCACCCAGCCCGUCAUGAAGUGGACAGGAUGGGAAAGAGGCCCUCCUACCUU